rnacentral:rRNA from 1 species
UACGGAGGGUGCAAACGUUGCUCGGAAUCAUUGGGCGUAAAGCGCACGUAGGCGGCUCGUUAAGUCGGAUGUGAAAGCCCCGGGCUCAACCCGGGAAGUGCAUUCGAAACGGGCGAGCUUGAAUAUGGAAGAGGGUCGCGGAAUUCCCGGUGUAGAGGUGAAAUUCGUAGAUAUCGGGAGGAACACCCGUGGCGAAGGCGGCUCUCUGGGACGGUACUGACGCUGAGGUGCGAAAGCGUGGGGAGCAAACAGG